UACGUAGGGUGCAAGCGUUAAUCGGAAUUACUGGGCGUAAAGCGUGCGUAGGCGGUUUUGUAAGUCUGUCGUGAAAUCCCCGGGCUCAACCUGGGAAUUGCAUUUGUGACUGCAUAGCUAGAGUACGGUAGAGGGGGAUGGAAUUCCGCGUGUAGCAGUGAAAUGCGUAGAUAUGCGGAGGAACACCGAUGGCGAAGGCAAUCCCCUGGACCUGUACUGACGCUCAUGCACGAAAGCGUGGGGAGCAAACAGG
rnacentral:rRNA from 1 species